rnacentral:rRNA from 1 species
UACGAAGGGGGGCUAGCGUUGCUCGGAAUCACUGGGCGUAAAGGGUGCGUAGGCGGGUCUUUAAGUCAGGGGUGAAAUCCUGGAGCUCAACUCCAGAACUGCCUUUGAUACUGAGGAUCUUGAGUUCGGAAGAGGUGAGUGGAACUGCGAGUGUAGAGGUGAAAUUCGUAGAUAUUCGCAAGAACACCAGUGGCGAAGGCGGCUCACUGGCCCGAUACUGACGCUGAGGCACGAAAGCGUGGGAGCAAACAGGG